UUCCAUUGUGUAUAUAUACCACAUCUUCUUGAUCCAUUCAUCUACUGGUGGUCACUUCGGUUGCUUCCAGAUCUUGGAUAUUGCAAAUAAUGCUACAAUGAUAAUGGGGGUGCAAGUAU